GUGCUUGCUUCAGCAGCACAUAUACUAAAAUUGGAACAAUACAGAGAAGAUUAGAAUGGCCCCUGUGCAAGGAUAAAGCAUAAAUUCAUGAAAUGUUCCAUAUUUUG